rnacentral:lncRNA from 1 species
UAUAUACAGUAUAUGUAUAUUUAUUAUAUAUAAAAAUUAUUAUUUUUUAUUUGUAACGAAUUUUUAUCACAAAAAAAAGUGCCGAGGAAAGAAAUAAAUCGACAUCCUCCAGCAUCGAAGGCGCGCGUUCUAGCGCAGCGCCACCCCUACCUCCAACAAAAUGGCUUUUUAGAAGGGUCAUGGGUGCACCAAAACUUAAAUUUGAAUUUUCUGGUAAAAAAGAGAGAAGUGGUGGCGCUCACUUUGGGAAAGGACACAGAGGGGAAAAUGAAUCGAAUUUACCGAUAAUUAUCAAAAAUUGGCCUACGCGAGUUUGGCCGUCUCCCGCUGAGUACUCCAAUCGUAUCACUCAAUUAACGGUGGAUGACUCUGUUUUUAAUUAGAAUUAAGUACGCCUACUAUAUGCGAAUGUUGCAGAAAAUACCGAAAAAAGUUUCACAGUUUAGAUAGGAGGUUAUUAGUUGGUCUUGGUUUUAUGACCCAAGUAGAUGAAACUGGCAUUUUUACAAGUAAAUAUCGGGUCGGAAGAGUCUUAGCCAUAAGUGGAACUGGCAGAAUAACUAGCGAUAUGCUAUGGCCACCAUCCAAUCGUUAAUUCUAUUCUUACCAGCAAUCUUAUCGAAAAUUCUACUGUUAUGGCUGAUAAUUGAUGACGAUAUAACCAAUGGCCAUAAUUAGUUUAUAAUUAUUUUAAAGUAAAUCAUUCAAAAAGUUUCGUAGAUAUAGAUUUUUCCUGGAUAAAUAUGCAGAGAAUUUUAAAAUGUUCGGGUCACAAAAAAAUAUUUCAAAAAUCUGC